UACGUAGGGGGCAAGCGUUAUCCAGAUUUACUGGGCGUAAAGCGCGUGUAGGCGGCUGGUUAAGUGUGACGUGAAAUCUUCGGGCUCAACCCGAAAACUGCAUUGCAAACUGGCCUGGCUAGAGUGCAGUAGGGGUAGAGGGAAUUCCCGGUGUAGCGGUGAAAUGCGUAGAGCUCGGGAAGAACAUCGGUGGCGAAAGCGCUCUACUGGACUGCAACUGACGCUGAGGGACGAAAGCUAGGGGAG
rnacentral:rRNA from 1 species